UUUAACUGAAAAACAUCCUUUUAUUUAUGAUGCAAAAUCUUGCAAAUUUAUGACAUGAGGUGGCCCUUACAAUGAACCAUUACGUGUCGGGCAAAACGUAUGGCUUUCAUGCAAAUAAGAAAGAAAAUAAGAAAAAUAUUACUCUUCGAGGAGAGUGACCCGGAUGAUCUCUUCGGCCUUCCAGUUCUGGAUUUCCAUCCCUGGUACGCACGGCUUUAUCCACUGGUCCAUGUCGCAGUCACUGUCAUCA
rnacentral:lncRNA from 1 species